CUGGCUUGAGAUAGAACCAGAGGUAAUCUGCAUACCUGCGGUUUCAGGGUUUGCGCACAGAAAUGGAAAGCUUGCACUUUCUGGCAGUGCUGACAGUUGCAGUGAAUCAUUCCCUGAACUUGGAUUAGCCCAGUACUAUAAAGAGAUGAAGUGCAAGUGGAAUCAAAGUUAAAGGAAUGUUUGAGCACUGUUGGAAUCCACUGUGGUGUUAAGAUCAUCACUGAAACCAUGAUGAGCCAGUCAUCCACCAGCCAUAUAUAGGUGAUGGCUAGGGGAGCUCUGGAGUGCAGUAUGCAGUUGCAAGGUAAGGACAACUUCAUAUCAGUAGUAACUUUGUAAUAUAACCAAUGAUGACUUGAUUUUGCCAUAUGAGUACUCUGAUUACACUCAAUACCGUUCCAUCAUUUACACUGAGGUUAUGUCUGAGUAAUCAUGUUUGUUCCUGUUACUUUCUGUUGUUAAUACCUUUUUCCCUUUGCAGAUUAAAUCCCUUGGACAGUGUGUGUAAAAGGUCCCAACAGAUGACUCACGACAAGGUGCUUGCACCUUAAGCUUCACAUCUGACAAUGUUGCACCAGCUGUAAUCAUCCUGUCUUGGAUAAAAUGGCAAACUAUGGAAAUGUAAUGGACUGAAUGUUGACUAAUAAAAUGUAAUGACCUAA